GGAGGGUUCGCAUAGUGGUCGAGUGCGCCACCUUGGAAAGGUGGUAUGGGGGAAACCUCAUCAAGGGUUCGAAUCCCUUACCCUCCG
rnacentral:tRNA from 1 species